ensembl:lncRNA
UGGAGAAUCAUUCUGAAUGCUGAAUUAUUUCAGAUAGAAAUCAAGACACGUCAUGCAUGAACAUGGUCAUUCACGAGCAAACGAUCUUUGGAUGCUCCUUAAAUAUUCUGAUCAGGCAGUAGCAGAUUAUCUAAAGCGUAACAGCUCUGAGUCCAGUGGUCAGAGGCGACUUCUCCAAACAGCACACAGAAGGAUGUGAAGAGAAGGUCAGGUAAACUUCACACACCGUAAAGUGAAGGUGCGAGGGUGCCGCAGAGUGAGCUGGGGAGCAGCUGAAGUUUAUCCAAACAAAAGAAUUCACAUUUCUAAGUUGAUUACAGUGGAGUGGUGGUCUGUCAUUUAGAUGUUCCAGAUUGAUUUUAAAGUGCUCUGUGAAACGCCACACACCACACUGCCGGCCCAGUAAAACCUCUCCUCUCUCUCCACCUCAAAAGUGCUUGUAAAAAAAAACCUAUUAUGAGGAACAAGGGGAGAGUGAGUUUCAAAGCAAAGUCAACCCUCCAUUCCUGCAGGACCAGCUCCUAAUUACUCUGUGAUUAACCAUGGGACUCACAAAGCCAAUAUUUGGCUCUUUAUACAGAUGCCAUGAUGACAGGAAACAGAAUGGGGCAAACGCGCACAUGAACACUAAAAAAAGCCCGACCGAAGUGUUUGAAAGGCAUUGGGGAACAUCUGUGGCUGUUUAUGAGUAAGUAGCCAGUAGUCAAACCUCUAACAGGUUUAGGUGUCAUCCUAAUUCCUCCUGUUUGGCCUCUCGAUGCUCUGUUAGUUUGUUUUAUACAAAAUCCAGAACAUUUACUCAAAUGAUCCUGUCACCUCAUACAAAAGUUACCAAUGCCUUGGUAUUCAAAAAAAUUAAUAAAAAUAAAAUAAAUCAUUUAUGACAACAAUGGCAAUUAACCAAGGGGUGAUUUGUAUACAUCUGGAGUGGAUUUUCUCACCAGAACAGUCCACACAAAAUCAGCUCUACAGUUGCCUUCUCCCCGCUCUGCGCUGCUAAAUUGGGGACUGUAUUGGGUUAAAGGGAGCAUGUUUUUUAUGUGUUUGGUUAAAAGCAGAUGGUUGGUUUAUAUUAGUUCAGGAAGGCGAUAAACAGUUUCAAUGCACUGUCAAACCACCAAUGUUCAGAGACUGUGGCAUGGGUACUUUUCACCUAUAAUGUUAAAUGAAUUUUAUACAUUCAGACUUACUAUUCUUCAGCUUUUUUUCCCCCCUGUAAGAACAUGUUUUGUGAAAGUUUCAACUGUUUUUGCCCAUACAAUAAAAGUCGCUUGCACAGUUAUUGUACAAAAAAACAUAAACAGAUACAUUGUUAUAGAUACAGAUACAUAAACUGAUACAUGGAACACAAAAGUCAUAUGGUUUGGAAUAUGCUUUUUUUGUGGUGAGUAAAUAAUGACAGAAUUUUAUUUUUUGGGUGAACUAUCCCUUUAAGAUGUCACUGUGGAUGUCUAAAUCUACAGACAAAUACAAUAAAAUAAAAAUAUGAAGAUUC